GAAACUGAAGCAGAGGCAGUUUUCAUUUCCUUACACCCUGCCAGCAUCAGCCACACCCUGGUGUCUCUCAGCCGGUUUGAGCUGGUUUUAAGGUAGACAAGCAAACUGGUUAAGACCACCAAGACUAAAUGAAGUUGUUUUUCACGGACAUCUUAGGAAGAAGAGAAUACAGACAUCAGACAUUUUCUUUACUAAAAUGGACAGUUUUUUUUUCUUUUUUCCUUUUAAAAGAUUUUUUACAUAGAAGGAAUUUGAAAAUUUGGAGGCACCACUGGCUUUGUAAACGAACAGUGAUGCAUGUGAAAUGAGUCUGUCUGCAUGGUGCAGCUCUGAUGUUUCUUCAUAUGUUCAUUUAAGUAGCCUCCCCUAUUCAGUGCCCUUGUUCCCAUUCACAGAAAACACAACC
ensembl:processed_transcript